GAUGAACGCUGGCGGCGUGCCUAAUACAUGCAAGUCGAGCGAAUGGAUUAAGAGCUUGCUCUUAUGAAGUUAGCGGCGGACGGGUGAGUAACACGUGGGUAACCUGCCCAUAAGACUGGGAUAACUCCGGGAAACCGGGGCUAAUACCGGAUAACAUUUUGAACCACAUGGUUCGAAAUUGAAAGGCGGCUUCGGCUGUCACUUAUGGAUGGACCCGCGUCGCAUUAGGUAGUUGGUGAGGUAACGGCUCACCAAGGCAACGAUGCGUAGCCGACCUGAGACGGUGAUCGGCCACACUGGGACUGAGACACGGCCCAGACUCCUACGGGAGGCAGCAGUAGGGAAUCUUCCGCAAGGGACGAAAGUCUGACGGAGCAACGCCGCGUGAGUGAUGAAGGCUGUCGGGUCGUAAAACUCUGUUGUUAGGGAAGAACAAGUGCUAGUUGAAUAAGCUGGCACCUUGACGGUACCUAACCAGAAAGCCACGGCUAACUACGUGCCAGCCGCCGCCGUAA
rnacentral:rRNA from 1 species